AGGGCGAAUGCCUGCAGAACUACAUCGACUGUGAAUCGCCAGGUUGCGGGUUCGAAUCCCGCCGCCGCAACCACUUCAUGCGGCGUAGCUCAAUCGGAUAGAGCAGGAACGUUUUGCACCCACCUUGUCGCCCUGAC
rnacentral:Y_RNA from 1 species